UCCGGUUUGUCACCGGCAGUCUCCCUAGAGUUCUCAGCCGAACUGCUAGCAACUAGGGAUAGGGGUUGCGCUCGUUACGGGACUUAACCCAACAUCUCACGACACGAGCUGACGACGGCCAUGCAGCACCUGUCUUACAGUUCCCGAAGGCACCAAUCCAUCUCUGGAAAGUUCUGUAGAUGUCAAGGCCAGGUAAGGUUCUUCGCGUUGCGUCGAAUUAAACCACAUGCUCCGCUGCUUGUGCGGGCCCCCGUCAAUUCCUUUGAGUUUCAGUCUUGCGACCGUACUCCCCAGGCGGCGAACUUAACGCGUUAGCGACGGCACCCGGGGACUAUAAAACCCCAGACACCAAGCAUUCAUCGUUUAAGGCUAGGACUA
rnacentral:misc_RNA from 1 species